rnacentral:rRNA from 1 species
CUGGACGGCGGUGCUUAACACAUGCAAGUCGAACGAGGAUCAUGGAGAGCUGCUCGAAAUGAUUCGAGUGGCGGACAGGUGAGUAACGCGUGAGGAACCUGUCUCACACAGGGGAAUAACGCAUCGAAAGAUGUGCUAAUACCGCAUAGGACCACGGGAGGGCAUCCUUCUGAGGUGAAAGGAGCAAUCCGGUGUGAGGUGGACUCGCGUCUGAUUAGAUAGUUGGUGAGGUAACGGCCCACCAAGUCAACGAUCAGUAGCCGACCUGAGAGGGUGAUCGGCCACAUUGGGACUGAGACACGGCCCAGACUCCUACGGGAGGCAGCAGUGGGGAAUAUUGGGCAAUGGGCGCAAGCCUGACCCAAGCAACGCCGCGUGAAGGAAGAAGGUUUUCGGAUCGUAAACUUCUGUCCUAUGUGAAGAUAGUGACGGUAGCAUAGGAGGAAGCCCCGGCUAACUACGUGCCAGCAGCUGC